rnacentral:rRNA from 1 species
AACGAACGCUGGCGGCAUGCCUAACACAUGCAAGUCGAACGAGACCUUCGGGUCUAGUGGCGCACGGGUGCGUAACGCGUGGGAACCUGCCCUUAGGUUCGGAAUAACUCCCCGACAGGGGUGCUAAUACCGGAUAAUGUCUUCGGACCAAAGAUUUAUCGCCUUUGGAUGGGCCCGCGUUGGUUUAGCUAGUUGGUAGGGUAAAAGCCUACCAAGGCGACGAUCCAUAGCUGGUCUGAGAGGAUGAUCAGCCACACUGGGACUGAGACACGGCCCAGACUCCUACGGGAGGCAGCAGUGGGGAAUAUUGGACAAUGGGCGAAAGCCUGAUCCAGCAAUGCCGCGUGAGUGAUGAAGGCCUUAGGGUUGUAAAGCUCUUUUACCCGGGAUGAUAAUGACAGUACCGGGAGAAUAAGCUCCGGCUAACUCCGUG